rnacentral:rRNA from 1 species
UACGGAGGGUGCAAGCGUUAUCCGGAUUCACUGGGUUUAAAGGGUGCGUAGGUGGGGUGGUAAGUCAGUGGUGAAAUCUCCGAGCUUAACUUGGAAACUGCCAUUGAUACUAUCAUUCUUGAAUAUUGUGGAGGUUAGCGGAAUAUGUCAUGUAGCGGUGAAAUGCUUAGAUAUGACAUAGAACACCAAUUGCGAAGGCAGCUGACUACAGGAACAUUGACACUGAGGCACGAAAGCGUGGGGAUCAAACAGG